GGUUGAUCCUGCCAGUAGUCAUAUGCUUGUCUCAAAGAUUAAGCCAUGCAAGUCUAAGUACGACUCUCGUAUAGUGAAUCUGCGAAUGGCUCAUUACAUCGGUCAUAAUUUCCUGGACGAGUUAACCAUACUUGGAUAACUGUGCCAAUUGUAGAGCUAAUACAUGCAACAUACUGUCUCUUCGGAGACGGUGCUUUUAUUAGAUCAAACGCCGAUGGCAUUCGUGUCUCGAGCGGCGAAUCGUGAUAACUCUAGCAUAUCGCACGGUUUCACACCGGCGAAGCGUCCUCCAAGUGACUGCCUUAUCAGCUGUCGAUGGUAGUGUAUUGGACUACCAGGCAUUAACGGGUNACGGGGAAUUAGGGUUCGAUUCCGGAGAGGGAGCCUGAGAAACGGCUACCACAUCUAAGGAAGGCAGCAGGCACGCAAAUUACCCAUUCCCGACUCGGGGAGGUAGUGACGAAAAAUAACGAUACGUGGUACUCAUUCGAGAACCCGUAAUUGGAAUGAGUACAAUUUAAAUCCUUUAACGAGGAUCUAUUGGAGGGCAAGUCUGGUGCCAGCAGCCGCGGUAAUUCCAGCUCCAAUAGCGUAUAUUAAAGUUGUUGCAGUUAAAAAGCUCGUAGUUGGAUCUUGGAUACGGGUAUCGCGGUCUGAGCAGUGUCUCUGUACUGCGAUUGCCCUGUCUGUAUUUUCGGAGGCCCGGCGGUGUCCUUCACUGGGGUGUCGUCGGGUGCCGAAGCGUUUUACUUUGAAAAAAUUAGAGUGUUCAAAGCAGACACGUACGUCCGCAUAAUUUUGCAUGGAAUAAUGGAAUAAGAGUUGGACUUAUUUUUGUUGGUGUUUUAGAGUCUAACUAAUGAUUAACAGGGAUAGACGGGGGCAUCGGUACCUCGUAGGGAGAGGUGAAAUUCUUUGAUCUACGGGAGACCAACUACUGCGAAAGCAUUUGCCAAGAAUGUUUUCAUUAAUCAGGAACGAAAGUCGGAGGUUCGAAGGCGAUCAGAUACCGCCCUAGUUCCGACCAUAAACGAUGUCGACUAGCGAUCUGCCGGCGUUAAUUAUAAGACUCGGCAGGAAGCUUCCGGGAAACCAAAGUCGGAUUCCGGGGAUAGUAUGGUUGCAAUAUCGAAAUUUAAAGGAAUUGACGGAAGGGCACCACCAGGAGUGGAGCCUGCGGCUUAAUUUGACUCAACACGGGAAACCUCACCAGGCCCAGACACGGGAAGGAUUGACAGAUUGAGAGCUCUUUCUUGAUUUCGUGGGUGGUGGUGCAUGGCCGUUCUUAGUUGGUGGAGCGAUUUGUCUGGUUAAUUCCGAUAACGAACGAGACUCAGUCCUACUAUUUAGAAUUGCCACCCUUUCGGGGUGGCCGUUCCUUCUUAGAGGGACUAG
rnacentral:rRNA from 1 species